rnacentral:rRNA from 1 species
ACGGGAGAGUAACACGUGGGAACGUGCCCUUCAGUUCGGAACAACCCAGGGAAACUUGGGCUAAUACCGGAUACGUCCGAAAGGAGAAAGAUUUAUCGCUGAAGGAUCGGCCCGCGUCUGAUUAGCUAGUUGGUGAGGUAACGGCUCACCAAGGCGACGAUCAGUAGCUGGUCUGAGAGGAUGAUCAGCCUCACUGGGACUGAGACACGGCCCAGACUCCUACGGGAGGCAGCAGUGGGGAAUAUUGGACAAUGGGCGCAAGCCUGAUCCAGCCAUGCCGCGUGGAUGAUGAAGGCCCUAGGGUUGUAAAGUCCUUUCGGCGGGGAAGAUAAUGACGGUACCCGCAGAAGAAGCCCCGGCUAACUUCGUGCCAGCAGCCGCGG